rnacentral:rRNA from 1 species
CUGGACUGACACUGACACUGAGGUGCGAAAGCGUGGGUAGCAAACAGGAUUAGAUACCCUGGUAGUCCACGCCGUAAACGAUGUCGACUAGCCGUUGGGUCCCUUGAGGACUUUGUGGCGCAGUUAACGCGAUAAGUCGACCGCCUGGGGAGUACGGCCGCAAGGUUAAAACUCAAAUGAAUUGACGGGGGCCCGCACAAGCGGUGGAGCAUGUGGUUUAAUUCGAUGCAACGCGAAGAACCUUACCUACCCUUGACAUCGUGCGAACUUGGUAGAGAUACCUUGGUGCCUUCGGGAGCGCACAGACAGGUGCUGCAUGGCUGUCGUCAGCUCGUGUUGUGAAAUGUUGGGUUAAGUCCCGUAACGAGCGCAACCCUUGUCCCUAUUUGCCAGCGAUUCGGUCGGGAACUCUAGGGAG